rnacentral:tRNA from 1 species
GCGUGACGCAGGCGGUCAGCGUGCCGACCUGCAAUGUCGGCGUACGCAGGGAUUGCAGCGCCGGGCGCACCA